rnacentral:lncRNA from 1 species
UUGCUCAUAGCAAGAAACAUAGUUCUAUUAGAAUGUCUUCAGGAUGAGAAUAAAGCUCUCGCUUUUAUCAAUCAAUCCAAGGGCAAGUUCUAGGUAGCUAAUCUAGACACAGCAUUAAUGAACAAUCCUAAAAAUGAUUAUCACAACUCAGCAACUAUAGUUGGGGCUAAUCCCUCCUAACCUAUUUAAACCCUAAAAUCUAAAAAUGGAACUACUCAGACAUG